GACGAACGCUGGCGGCGUGCUUAACACAUGCAAGUCGAACGGAAAGGGCUGGCAUCUUUCUGGUGUCAGAGUGGGGAACGGGCGGGUAACACAUGCGUAAUCUGCCUUUGACUCUGGGAUGACUUCAAGAAGCUGAGGACAACACAGACUACGUGCGACCGAAGCAUGGCGGGGGUUGGAAAGGUGCGGCGGCUGGGGCUGGUCACGUGGCACAUCAGCUUGUUGGUGGGGUAGUGGCUUACGAAGGCUUUGACGGGUAGCCGGACUGAGAGGGUGACCGGCCACAGUGGGAUUGGGGUGCGAGCCAGACUGCAACUGCAGCCAUCAGUGGGAAAUAGUGCACGAUGGGCGGAAUCCGUAUGCAGCAACUCCGCGUGGUGGAUGACGGCCUUCGGGGUGGAAACCGCUUCCGCCGAUUACGAAGCGGGAUUGACGGUAACGGGAUAAAAAGCACCGGCUAACUACGUG
rnacentral:rRNA from 1 species